ensembl:misc_RNA
UUCACAGGCUAAUGGAGUCGGUGACGAAGUGGUUUAUGAACAGCAACCACUGUGCCCUGCACUGGAUGGCUGCAGGGAAUGUUUGCAGACAUGCCCAGAGAAGUCUGCCCAGGGCCAUUGAGAUACCUCUGAGAU